rnacentral:rRNA from 1 species
CCUACGGGUGACUGCAGUGAGGAAUAUUGGUCAAUGGGCGGAAGCCUGAACCAGCCAAGUCGCGUGAGGGAAUAAGGCCCUACGGGUCGUAAACCUCUUUUGCCGGGGAGCAAGGUCGGGGACGUGUCCCGGCCCGGAGAGUACCCGUAGAAACAGCAUCCGCUAACUCCGUGCCAGCAGCCGCGGUCAUACGGAGGAUGCGAGCGUUAUCCGGUUUUAGUGGGUUUAACGGGUGCGUAGGCGGGCUUUUAAGUCAGCGGUAAAAAUUCCGGGCUCAACCCCGACCGGCCGUUGAAACUGGGGGCGGUGAGGGGGCGAGAGGAAGGCGGAAUGCGUGGUGUAGCGGUGAAAUGCAUAGAUAUCACGCAGAACACCGAUUGCGAAGGCAGCCUUCCGGCGCCCUACUGACGAUGAGGCACGAAAGUGCGGGGAUCGAACAGGAUUAGAUACCCUUGUAGUC